rnacentral:lncRNA from 13 species
AAAAGUCAGCAGUACUGGAGCUAGACAGCCCGUCGUGCCACUUUGUGGACAACGACUCCCACUGCUAGGGCGGUGAGACAUGUAUCUUGGCAGUAUAUCCAUAAUCUUUGGUUUCCUAAAGGUUGGUAGGAUGUUGCAUCAAGGUGCUCACUGGUCAUGGAGGCUCGUUUGAGACAUUCAUCCCUCCCUCUGGAGUUGUGUUUUGGACCCUUCCACUUUGAGGUGCUGCCAGCGUGGUGUGGUCGUUGUGACGCCUGAGCGUACAGGUCCUGCCUCCAUCUCAGGUCCAGCCAGACACACCUGCUGGCCCAAGCCUCAGAAUACCAAGAAGUGCCGUUGCGGAGGUGGCACUGGAGGAGGAGGAGGUGGUGGAGUGGGAGGAGGUGGUUCACUGCCGUCCCGUCUGGGCUUCAGGCAGAACACC